rnacentral:snRNA from 14 species
AGCAGGCCCCUUGCACUCCGGUGCUGUAAGGGUUCAGGAAUGCUCUUAUGAGUAAUUCCACAGUAGAAUUUUUGACAGCGGGGGUGAGCGCGUGCGCCGCCCCCAC